CAGUUUUUAGCUUAAGAAAAGCCCCUCCCUUACACCGAGAAGUUGUCCGUGAAACCCAGACUAAACUGA
rnacentral:tRNA from 1 species